rnacentral:rRNA from 1 species
GAUGAACGCUGGCGGCGUGCCUAAUACAUGCAAGUCGAGCGAAUGGAUUAAGAGCUUGCUCUUAUGAAGUUAGCGGCGGACGGGUGAGUAACACGUGGGUAACCUGCCCAUAAGACUGGGAUAACUCCGGGAAACCGGGGCUAAUACCGGAUAACAUUUUGAACCGCAUGGGUCGAAAUUGAAAGGCGGCUUCGGCUGUCAUCUACGGCUGGACCGGCGUCGCAUUAGCUAGUUGGUGAGGUAACGGCUCACCAAGGCAACGAUGCGUAGCCGACCUGGGAGGGUGAUCGGCCACACGGGGACUGGGACACGGCCCAGACUCCUACGGGAGGCAGCAGUAGGGAAUCUUCCGCAAUGGACGAAAGUCUGACGGAGCAACGCCGCGUGAGUGAUGAAGGCUUUCGGGUCGUAAAACUCUGUUGUUAGGGAAGAACAAGUGCUAGUUGAAUAAGCUGGCACCUUGACGGUACCUAACCAGAAAGCCACGGCUAACUACGUGCCAGCCGCCGCAGUAA